UACGAAGGGGGCUAGCGUUGCUCGGAAUCACUGGGCGUAAAGCGCACGUAGGCGGCUUUCUAAGUCAGGGGUGAAAUCCUGGAGCUCAACUCCAGAACUGCCUUUGAUACUGGAGAGCUUGAGUCCGGAAGAGGUGAGUGGAACUCCGAGUGUAGAGGUGAAAUUCGUAGAUAUUCGGAAGAACACCAGUGGCGAAGGCGGCUCACUGGUCCGGUACUGACGCUGACGGUGCG
rnacentral:rRNA from 1 species